CCUGGUAGGAAAGGUCUCCUCAUGAACUUUACCACUGAGCUGUGCCGUCUUCUCAGCUUGAUGGGCAAGGUUGAAGCAGGGAAGCAUCCUUGGUUGGGGUGCAGGAGAAACACUGGGUGACCUUGCACUGGCUGCGCACUGACAAGGGUGUGCAUGGAAGCUUGGGAGAGAUUUAUGGGCCCAGUUCUGCCAAACACUUGUGAUCCCACAACAAUUUCUCAUCGUGUCUCACAGUGCCUGGCAGGAUCACACAUGUGUUCCCUUCCAAUUGUCUGUGGUGGGACAUUAUUCUCUCCCUUGUGACCUAGCGGUCAAUGACUUUUAUUUCUUGAGCUUGCCUGUUUAAUUAAGGAGUUGCUUCUCACCCAAAGUAUGGGAUAAGCCAGAAUGAAAGCAGCAUGCUUUUAAGACUGAAAAUAAAACCCCAAAUGUCAGCUCACCCGCCGGGCUAGCUAUUAAAGCUGAAUGAAGUGGUUGCAUUAUGAUGGUCAUGGGAUGCCUUGUAGAAGGAGCACUAUUGUGGGCGAAAACUACUUAUUUGACAUUUCCCAAGUUGCUUUUAGCAUUUCUCCUAAAUAAGCCUUUAUGCUUUGUCUAAACAGCUGAAGCUGAUGCUUAAUAAAGCUCUAGACUGCUUUGUCCAAGCACUUUCUGUGCUAGAUGGCUUCAGUAAACACUUCAGAUUUUGAAAGCAAAGUAAUUGGUAAACUUUCACUGAGGCACCACAUGCUGAGGUUACUUAACACCCUGCUAUCAAUACAUAUCACAGAACUCAAUGGUAGCAUUUUAGGAGCUCAAAAGCAGCUGGCAAUCACACCUGAACUUGCUAAUCAACACCAAAAAUUAAUGACAAGCUAAUCUGCACAUGUGAGCUUCCUUUGAAGAGCUAGAUAAGCUGCAAGCCUCUGCUGAUGGAAAGGAUGCUCCUGACCUAACUGCCAAGGGCAUCACUUUGUUUCCUGACUACGGAGUGUUUUAUUGUGUCUUGCUGUCCAUGGAGUAAGUGUUUCCCUCCUGGACCACGCUAAAAACUCUUGAGUAAACCAUCCUAGGCAGUGAAUGAACAUCCAAGAUGCAAACAUGCUCCCAGUUGGCUGCAGAACAGGAACUGGUUGGAAAAGUUUGCAGGGCUCUGUUUAGACUGCAGUGAGUCUUCACUCCUGACUUAAUGGGACAAGUACCUCUGGGAAGCCCUCUGUGAGGGAUGCUCAGGAAAUGAAAUCAGAGCAAUACCUGGGCUCCACACAAAGUGCCUUUGGUAGAGACAAGAGGGCUUUGUUAUCCCCAGCUGCAGACACCUCCAAAACCCCUCAGGUCAGAACCGUGCAGAGCAGGAUUGCCAAGAUCUCAGUGCAGGUACAGAAACUGCUGACAGUUGGACAUCUGCACCCCACUGCUGCUCUGAUUCCCCUACCAGCCCUGUCCCUGUGUGCCUGGCAUUGCCCCCCUUGUCCAUAGUGCCAGGCACAGGGGAAUGGAGAGUGUACAGAAAGGAGGCAGAGAGAAACAGAGCUCCUCAAAGGCCCACCAAGCAGUGUGGGUCCUGCAUACUUGAUGGGAAACACAGUGUUUGUCAAGCAUACAAGCUGUCUGGAAAAGAGAAGGAAAAAACAGCUCUUUGGAACAGAAGGAACAGGGCUCUGGGGGGAGUGGCUCUGAAUAGGUCACAGUGCCCCAGCAGAUCCUCAGGGCCAAGCAUGUAAUGGGACAAAAGAACGAGUUUGCACAGGAGCUUGAUGCACAGGGACCAGGCCCAGAUCAGAUGAAUCACAAAGUCCCUGUCUGGCAGUGGGGACCUGCAGGGUGUCACAGCUGGGCUCACAUCUGCCUUGCUCCAUCCACUUCCCACUCAUGGGAUCCAAACGUCCAGUCUGUGGUGCUUGACUCAGGCAAUCAUUGCUAGACCAGUGGUUAUUUUGUUCUGAUGGGCACUUGGGUGGCUCUUCCUCCUGUUGAGGUUCUGGACUGUACUGUAGUGUGUUUGAGUGCCUCCUUGUGCUGGGUGAACAUCCAUAGCAUCCCCUGUGCCCAUCCAAGGCUCAUUUGCUUGCCUCCUCUCUUGAGUUUACCUGAAUCUUCUCUGUGGUUCAUCAGGAAUGCUUACACAUUCAAUGCAUGUAACAUCUGUGACCCAUCUUCCUUUUGCACUGACACAUCUACUGUAUGUAACAUCUGGGACCCAUCUUCCCCGCGAUGCGGCUAUAUCUACUGUACGUAACAUCUGGGACCCAUUGUCCAUCUUCUCUAUUGAGUCAUCCCUAGGGAAAUGCAGCAUGCCCUGGGUACUUCUGUGUAUGGGCGAGUGAGUUAAGGUUCAUGAGUCCCCAUAAUAAAGGUCAAUGGAAAACACA